rnacentral:rRNA from 1 species
GAUGAACGCUGGCGGCGUGCCUAAUACAUGCAAGUCGAGCGAACUGAUUAGAAGCUUGCUUCUAUGACGUUAGCGGCGGAUGGGUGAAUAACACGUGGGCAACCUGCCUGUAAGACUGGGAUAACUUCGGGAAACCGAAGCUAAUACCGGAUAGGAUCUUCUCCUUCAUGGGAGAUGAUUGAAAGAUGGUUUCGGCUAUCACUUACAGAUGGGCCCGCGGUGCAUUAGCUAGUUGGUGAGGUAACGGCUCACAAAGGCAACGAUGCAUAGCCGACCUGAGAGGGUGAUCGGCCACACUGGGACUGAGACACGGCCCAGACUCCUACGGGAGGCAGCAGUAGGGAAUCUUCCGCAAUGGACGAAAGUCUGACGGAGCAACGCCGCGUGAGUGAUGAAGGCUUUCGGGUCGUAAAACUCUGUUGUUAGGGAAGAAUAAGUACAAGAGUAACUGCUUGUACCUUGACGGUACCUAACCAGAAAGCCACGGCUAACUACGUGCCAGCCGCCGCAGUAA